CAGAGGGGGCAAGCGUUAUUCGGAAUUAUUGGGCGUAAAGGGCGCGUAGGCGGCCAUUCAAGUGACGGGUGAAAGCCCUCGGCUUAACCGAGGAACUGCCUGUCAGACUGGAUGGCUUGAGACCGGGAGAGGUGAGUGGAAUUCCCAGUGUAGCGGUGAAAUGCGUAGAUAUUGGGAGGAACACCAGUGGCGAAGGCGGCUCACUGGACCGGAACUGACGCUGAGGCGCGAAAGCGUGGGGAGCAAACAGGAUUAGAUACCCUGGUAGUCCACGCCGUAAACGAUGAGUGCUUGGUGUAGCGGGUAUCGACCCCUGCUGUGCCGAAGUCAACACAUUAAGCACUCCGCCUGGGGAGUACGGUCGCAAGACUG
rnacentral:rRNA from 1 species